GAAAUGCGAUAAGUAGUGUGAAUUGCAGAAUUCAGUGAAUCAUCGAAUCUUUGAACGCACAUUGCGCCCCUUGGUAUUCCAUGGGGCAUGCCUGUUCGAGCGUCAUUUGUACUCUCAAGCUCUGCUUGGUGUUGGGUGUUUGUCCUUUCCUUUGCGAUUGGACUCGCCUUAAAAUAAUUGGCAGCCAGUGUUUUGGUAUUGAAGCGCAGCACAAUUUGCGAAUCAAGCCUAAAGACUAGCAUCCAUAAAGCUAUUUUACACUUUUGACCUCGGAUCAGGUAGGGAUACCCGCUGAACUUAA
rnacentral:misc_RNA from 1 species